rnacentral:tRNA from 1 species
UGAGUGGGAAGACAAAGUUUUGCGUUAGAUUGUAGCUCUAAUAUUGGGAACAAAGAUUCCCCCCGCUCAU